UACGGAGGGUGCGAGCGUUAAUCGGAAUUACUGGGCGUAAAGGGCGCGUAGGCGGUGGGUUACGUCUGCCGUGAAAUCCCCGGGCUCAACCUGGGAAUGGCGGUGGAAACGGGCUGACUGGAGUAUGGGAGAGGGUGAUGGAAUUCCAGGUGUAGCGGUGAAAUGCGUAGAGAUCUGGAGGAACACCAGGGGCGAAGGGGGUCACCUGGCCCAAGACUGACGCUGAGGCGCGAAAGCGUGGGGAGCGAACAGG
rnacentral:rRNA from 1 species